UCAAUAAGAAUAGGGCUAAAUGUUGAGUCAAAACACUGUAGGAAUUGAGAGGUUCCCCACUUGCGCUACCCUUGGAAACCAAGAGAAGAUGUUAAAAAAAUAAAACGAUAAUGCUUCCUGAAGGUGUCUUCCCAUCUUUACACUAGAUGGGUUCAACUGGGAGAAAUUACUGGUCUCUGGAAGUUGAAGACUGUCCAUAUAAUUAAAAUGUAUAAUAGGUACUCAGGAUUACCUUUCAAGUUUCAACAUAUACAAAAUUAACUUUAUAUAACUCUUCAAAAAUAGUUUACCAUUAUACCUAAUAAUCUGGUUUAAAUUUUUAAAACUCAUUAUUAACAUAGGUGAGAGUUAAUCCACUAUGACUUUGCCCAUUGUUUAGAAAGAAUAUUCAUAGUAUAAUUAUGACAUUUUUGACCAGGCAUAUUGGCUCAUGCAUGUAAUCCCUGCACUUUGGGAGGCCAGUGCACGCAGAUCACCUGAGGCCAGGAGCUCGAGACCAGCCUGACAAACAUGGUGAAGCCCCAUUUCUACUAAAACUACAAAUAUUAGCUAGGUGUGGUGGCACACGCCUGUAAUCUAAGCUACCCAGGAGGCUGAGGCAGGGGAAUUGUUUGAACCUGCAGUGAGCCAAGAUCAUGCCACUGCACUCCAGCCAGGGUGACAGAAUGAGACUGCAUCUCAAAAAAUAUAUAUAUAUGACUUUUUGUUGCACAUAUAUUUAGUAACAUACAACUGAAGCCAUUAUUAUAUUAUUAGUUUUGAUUUAAUGUUUUCAGCCCAUCUCCCCUGAUAUUUCUGGGAGACAGGAAAUGUUUUCUUACAUCGCUUGCAUUCUGUCCUCAACUCCCAACUGUCUCAAUGCAAUGAACACUUAAUAAAAAACAGUUGAUUGAUCAAUUGAUUGGGCAACAAGGCUAAAAGUACUCAUUCCUUUUCUUUUCCUAUUUCUUCCUUUAUUUUUCCUUUCUGAAUAAUUUAGUCCUAGAGCCAUUAGGUGGGUGGCAGCCAGAUGGUGGCCAACAUUAAGGUAGAGAAGAGAGUCAUGGUGGUUCCAAGUCAGAGACCAAGUAGGAUGAGGACCAAGUGAGUGUUCAUAUGGAAACAGCCUGCCUGGGUGUGGGAGUCCAAGCAAGCAGAGAAGGGGUCCACAUAGAGGUGUGGCCUACAAGAGCAGCCAUAGCCUAAAUAUGGCAUGGAAAACCCACACAAGGUCAGGAGGGCCUCCAGGAGUGGAAAGGGAUGGGCGAGGUUUGGCUACAUAAAGGGGAUUUAUCAAAGAAGUAAAUAUAUUAAGGAUGAUGGAAGCCAGGCUUCUCACUUUUGCAGAAGGGAGUCACGGAUUCAGAAAGGGAGAAAACUAGCAGGAAUCCCAUAAAAUUAGAUUGGAGUGGAUGUACUCGUGUAUACUCAUACCCUUCUAGAUAGACAGAUGGGUAGAUAGGUAAUAGAUAACAGAUCAAUGACAGGUAGAUAGAUGUAAAUGUAUAUGUGUGUUUGUGUGUGUGUACAAAAAAAUUUAAAAACCAUAUAUUUCCUAGGUCUCUCCACUGAUAGGGCUAAGUAACAAUGACAUUUCAAUAGCAAUGAGCACACUUAGUGCCAAGAUCUUGGCUUAUGAAUACCAUUUACCACCGAAGGGAACCAGAGCUCUUUAGAGAAAUGCCUGAUUCCAGGGCCAGGUUGAGAAUGUUCAAGACAAGCCUAGGACACAUUUUGUGCCAGGAAGCAAGAAAAUGUUCACAUGAUUUCCAAGUAAUGUUUGGAAAUGAUAUUUGAAAAAGACUUCCAAAUGAUAAUUCCAAAUUAUUUCCAAAUGAUAUUUGCAAAAACAUAAAGACUCCACCAAAGAACUAUUAGAACUGAUAAACAUAUUCAGUAAAGUUGCAGAAUACGAAAUCAACAUACCAAAAUCAGCAGCAUUUCUAUAUGCCAAUAGCAAACAAUCUGGCAAAAAUAAAAAAGUAAUCCCAUUUACAAUAGCCACGAAUAAAACUAAAUACCUAGGAAUUAACUUAAUCAAAGAAGAGAGAGAUCUCUAUAAUGAAUACUGUAAAACACUGAUGAAGGAAAUUGAAGAAGACACAAAAACAGAAGGAUAUUCCAUGUUUACAUAUUGUAAGAAUCAAUAUUAUUAAAACUGUCCACACUACCCAAAGCAAUGUACAGAUUCAAUGCAAUCCCUCAAAAUACCAAUGACAUUCUUCAAAGAAAUAGAAGAAAAAAUUCUAACAUUUCUAUAGAACCACAGAAGACCCAGAAUAGCCAAAGCUAUCUUCAGAAAAAAGAACAAAACUGGAAGAAUCAUAUUACCUGACUUCAAAUUAUAUUACAGAGGCAUAAUAACCAAAACAGUAUGGUACUUGAAUAAAAACAGACGCAUAGACCAAUUAAAUAGAAUAGAGCACCCAGAAACAAACCCACACACCUACAGUGAACUCAAUUUCGACAAUGUUGUCAAGAACAUACACUGGGGAAAAGACAGUCUCCUCUGGUGCUGGGAAAGCUGGAUAUCAAUAUGCAGAAGAAUGAAACUAGACCCCUAUAUCUCACCAGACAUCCAGGCAGACAGCCCAGCAAACAACAGCACACAGCUGAAAGUAAGACUCAGAGGAGA
rnacentral:lncRNA from 1 species